GCCUUCGUGGUGUAGUGGUCAGCACGCUCGACGCGUAUUCGAGAGGUCCGUGGUUCGAGUCCCGGCUAGAACA
rnacentral:tRNA from 1 species